rnacentral:rRNA from 1 species
UACGGGGGGAGCAAGCGUUGUUCGGAUUUACUGGGCGUAAAGGGCGCGUAGGCGGUCGUGACAAGUCACUUGUGAAAUCUCCGGGCUUAACUCGGAACGGUCAAGUGAUACUGUCGGACUAGAGUACAGAAGGGGCAACUGGAAUUCUCGGUGUAGCGGUGAAAUGCGUAGAUAUCGAGAGGAACACCCGUGGCGAAGGCGGCUCUCUGGUACGUGACUGACGCUGAGACGCGAAAGCGUGGGGAGCAAACAGG